rnacentral:lncRNA from 1 species
UCCAGUAAAUCGUUUACUAUCUUUUUUGUUUUUUGCUCCUAAUUCCUUUUUCUCUCGUUCUACUUCAAAUCUCUUUAAACAACCCCGUUACUUUAUCCUUUGAUCGCUUUGAUCUCUUUUUUAGUUGGAUCGCCUCAUUCCGUACUUUCGCUCUCAAUAUACUUCAAAUCUCUUUAAACAACUCCAUUGCCUUAUUGCAUACUUUUUCCCUCAUUCACUAAACCCUUUCAUCUCUUUUUUUGGUUCUUACUCCUCAUUCUUUACAUUUUCUCUCCUUAUACUCAAAAUCUCUUUAAACAACUCCAUUGCCUUAUUCUCUGAGCACUUUAAUUUCUUUUUUUGUUUUUUUCUCCUCAUUCCUUAGUUUUUCUCUCAAUCUACUCCAAAUAUCUUUAAACAACUCUAGUGCCUUAUCCAUUGCUAUAAAUAUCUCAUUCUACUUUUUCUCUCAUUUUACUCCCAAUUCUCUUUAAACAACUCUAUUGCUUUAUCCUUUGAUCACUUUGAUCUUUUUCUUUUUAUCUCCUCAUUCCUUACUUUUUCUCUCAGUCUACUCCAAAUUUCUUUAAAUAACUCAAUCGCUUUAUUCCCUAAACCCUUUAAUCUUUUUUUCUUUUUUGCUUCUCAAUUCUAUAAUUUUUCUCUCAUUCUACUGUAAAUCUCUUUAAACAACUCCGUUGCCUUAUCCCCUAAGUCUUUUAGUCUCUUUUUUGUGUUUUGCUUCUCAUUCCAUACUUUUUCUCUCCUAUUCUAAAUCUGUCCAUUGCCUUAUCCUCUAAACAGUUUAAGCAAUCUAUUUCAGUCGCCUGCAAAUAGAUGAUCUUUGGUUUUAAUCUGCUUAUACAUCCUCAAAUUAAAUAUCUUUUUCCAUGAUCAUUGAUUCUCCUAACUUUUCAGGAUAUGAUGUGCCUCAACAUUGAUUAAUUGUCUUACAAUAUUCCCUGUCUUUUCUUUCCAUCAUGGCUCGGGUUACUAUAGUUGAUACUGAACCUCAGCCUUUUCAGUUCCUUAGAUCCCUUUAUAACUUAUUUGCUUUUCAUUUUUUGUUUUUUGCACCUCAUUCUUUACCUUUUCUCUCCUACUCUAAAUCUCUUUAAACAACUCCAUUGUUUUAUCCUCUAAACUUUUUAAUUUCUUUUUUGUUUUUUGCUCCUCAUUCCUUACCUUUACUCUCAUUCUACUCUAAAUGUCUUUAAUCAACUCCAUUGCCUUAUUCUCUAAACUGUUUAAUCUCUUUUUUAUUUUUUACUCGUCAUUGCUUACCUUUUCUCUCAUUCUCUAAAUCUCUUUAAACAACUCUAUUGCCUUAUCCUCUAAAUCCUUUAAUCUCUUUUUUAUCUUUUGCUCCUUAUUCUUUACAUUUUCUCAUCUACUCUAACUCUCUUUAACAACUCUAUUGCCUUAUUGUCUAAACUCUUUAAUCUCUUUUUUAUUUUUUUGCUCCUCAUUCCUUACCUUUUCUUACCUUCUACUCUAAAUCUCUUUAAACAACUCCAUUGUCUUAUCCUUUAAAACCUUUAUUCUCUUUCUUGUUUUUUGCUCCUUGUUCUUUACUUUUUGUCUUACUCUAAUCCUCUAAACACUUUAAUCCCAUUUUUGUUUAUUGCUCCUCAUUUCUUACUUUUUCUCUCCUUCUACUCUAAAUCUCUUUAAACAACUUCAUUAUCUUAUCUUCUAAACAGUUUAAACCCUCUAUUUUAGUCUAAUGCAAACAUAUGAUCUUUGGUUUUAAUAUGUCCUAAUUACCUGUCUUUUUCUAUGAUCAUUUAUUCUCUUAAUUUUUCAGGAUACGAUGUAUCCCUAUUUUAGUCUAACGCAAACAUAUGAUCUUUGGUUUUAAUAUGUCCUAAUUACCUGUCUUUUUCUAUGAUCAUUUAUUCUCCUAAUAUUUCAGGAUACGAUGUAUCCCUA